rnacentral:rRNA from 1 species
UGGCGGCGUGCUUAACACAUGCAAGUCGAACGAGAUCCAAUCAGUAGCAAUACUGGUGAAGAUCUAGUGGCGAACGGGUGCGUAACACGUGAGGAACUUGUCCCGGUCUCUGGGAUAACAGUUGGAAACGACUGCUAAUACCGGAUGACGUCGGAGCGUCGCAUGGCGCGCUGACGAAAGGGUUACUGGAUCGGGAGAGCCUCGCGGCCUAUCAGCUUGUUGGUGGGGUAACGGCCUACCAAGGCAUCGACGGGUAGCUGGUCUGAGAGGAUGAUCAGCCACACUGGGACUGAGACACGGCCCAGACUCCUACGGGAGGCAGCAGUGGGGAAUCUUGCACAAUGGGCGAAAGCCUGAUGCAGCAACGCCGCGUGCGGGAAGAAGGCCUUCGGGUUGUAAACCGCUUUCAGAAGGAACGAAACUGACGGUACUUUCAGAAGAAGGUGCGGCCAACUACGUGCCAGCAGCCGCGGUGACACGUAGGCACCAAGCGUUGUCCGGAUUUAUUGGGCGUAAAGAGCUCGUAGGCGGUUCAGUAAGUCGGGUGUGAAAACUUUGGGCUUAACCCAAAGCGUGCAUCUGAUACUGCUGUGACUUGAGUUCGGUAGGGGAGUGGGGAAUUCCUAGUGUAGCGGUGAAAUGCGCAGAUAUUAGGAGGAACACCGGUGGCGAAGGCGCCACUCUGGGCCGAAACUGACGCUGAGGAGCGAAAGCAUGGGUAGCAAAC